rnacentral:rRNA from 1 species
GGCGUGCCUAACACAUGCAAGUCGAACGGAGUUGAGGAGCUUGCUCCUAACGUUAGUGGCGGACGGGUGAGUAACGCGUGAGUAACCUGCCUCUGAGAGGGGAAUAACGUUCUGAAAAGAACGCUAAUACCGCAUGACACAUAUUUGCCGCAUGACAGAUAUGUCAAAGAUUUUAUCGCUCAGAGAUGGACUCGCGUCCGAUUAGUUAGUUGGUGAGGUAACGGCUCACCAAGACCGCGAUCGGUAGCCGGACUGAGAGGUUGAACGGCCACAUUGGGACUGAGACACGGCCCAGACUCCUACGGGAGGCAGCAGUGGGGGAUAUUGCGCAAUGGGGGCAACCCUGAACCGCAGCAACGCCGCGUGAAGGAUGAAGGUUUUCGGAUUGUAAACUUCUUUUCUCAGGGACGAAAUCUGACGGUACCUGAGGAAUAAGCUCCGGCUAACUACGUGCCAGCAGCCGC